GCCAGUAGUGUAAUCCGAUGGCCAACUGUCCCCGGCUCAGAUUCUGGAGGCUGUGACUGAUGAGCCAACCAAGAAAAGGAAAUCUAGUAGUUUGGCAGGACCCAGCAACAUGCAAUGCUCGGAGACAUGACGGCGCCAGGAUUCAGCCCCCUCGGCUUCUCUUUGCAGUCCAACAAAUCAUCCGGGGUGUUUGCCAGCGGUCUGGUGCUGUGAAAUUCCAUUAAUCGAAUUCCUCUCCUCCUCCAUAUGUUGAGCUUUCUCAGUGAAGUAUCGAAAGAUUUGACGGCCUUACAGGGAUAUACAUGUGCAAUGAGCUGAGGUGGAUCAAACCUUAUAGCUGGGACCACGUCCUCUUUGCGAGAUGCAAAUCAUGGCAAACCGAUGACGAAAAGCAUGACAUCUUGCUCAGCGUCUCACCCUACCCAUACUAUGCGUGCGCAGCGGUGCACGUUCCCUCGUGAUUUACACCGAGUGAUCCCAAGCUGCCAACCCAGAUAGAUGCCUGAUGCCACCCUAUGAUGAACCACAGACGCGAGUGAACAGGAGUCAACGUCAGGGACGAUAUGAAUCAUAGUUUGCCGCAUCGCUCACGAGUGACGUUGUCCGGUCGACAAGGGGAAUACGACACAGACGCAAACACGUCGUACAAUGAUGCGAGAGUUGAGCCCACGGAGACCGACAAAAGACAGCUUUGAGGUCAGCCCAUCUUUGGAGGCGUUUGCGAUGCUGUCAUCGGCGGGACGGGGAGACGGGACCGAGGGGACGUGUGUACGAACAGCGACGUCAGUCGGUAGGAGCCAAAGGGGAGAAGGGGGGGUACGCAAACUGAAGAGUGAGUGUUGUUGUUGCAGUGGCGAGCAAGCGAGGCCGGACUUAUCGCCGUGAGCCGCCCGUCAGCGUCAGCAGCCUGCGUCAGAAGAGGGCUGAGAAGUGAAAGGGGCCGUUUGACGUCAACGCGGGUGCUGUCCCCGGACGGAGGCUAUCAAUAGAGCCGCGUACUAUUCUAAGGGGUCAGUCUGGCGGCAGCGCCAGGUCCCCGAGUUUAGGGGUCCAACAUUCCAUUACACUACAGGCAGAACAGGGUGACAGACUUUGUUCCCCUGUCGUUCUGUGCCGUUGGCGGCUCCCUGCGCACUCUCGCUC